CAAGAUGUGAGCUAGAGGAGCAUCCUGGAAACGAUGCGGCAGCGGGCAUCUCGGAGCGGGCCGAGUUCCAGUUAGUCUACGUGCCCACCGUGAUAGUCGACCUCGUGCUUCGCUCCCACACCUGCUCCGAGAAGGCGCUCCUAGCUCGCCUACGUGGUCGGUUGCCCCAGGAUGUAGCUUGGGAAGGUCAGACUGUUGGAGUUGAAGCAGUUGUAGAUUUCUUCAAGGCAAAAAUAAAGCAUUUGCACUUGGUGAGAUGAAAAAGAGGAUGGCACAGGUGAUGCAAGGAACCGACGGCCUGUUUGCAGCGAAGAAGGUGAGGCGUGAGCAGCCGCGCAUGUAAUGGCCAGUGGAGGGCGGCUAGGGAAGGCGGUGGCGGUGUUUUCGUGCGGCGAGGUCGCCGUCCAGGAAGGCGAAGGCGAUGAUGUUUCUGAGCGGCGAGGGGAUAUCCGUGGGAUAUGUUUCUUGUUUUUGGAUUUGCAAGGUCAAUUAUUAUUUGUGGGAAUGGAGGAUAC